AUUUAUAUGAUGUGUAUAUACGGAUUUGUGUGUAUGUGUAAAGUGCAUAACUAUAUAUAUACAAUACAUUAAUAUAUACGUUGAUGUAUAUGACCAUAUAUACACUUAUUAUUACUAUAUACCUUUAUUAAUGUAUAUGUACACUGAUUUAUAUACUACACACACUCACUGUCACACUCACUCUCAUUCUCACCCUCACACUCACACUCACACUCACUCACUCAUACACACACACACUCACACACUUACACUCACACUCACGCUCGCACCAGCACUCUCACUCUCACUCUCACUCUCACUCGCACUCACACUGACAUUGACACUUACACACACUCACACUCACAAAUAUAUAUACUAUCACUUGUAAUCAAAUAUGCAAUUGCGAAAUUCCUUAUUACUUUGUAUAAAAUUAGGCAUAAGAAUGGGUUUCUUCUCUUGAUGAAUUGGGUAUGUUGAAUACGCUAUUGUGAUAAUCCAUGUAAAUUUUUUAUCUUAUUUGUACUUGUUUUUUAUUAUUAUUGAUGAGCUUCAUCUUCAUUGAGUUUUCUUGUAAAUCAACAAGCACGAAAGCAACUUAUCAUAGAGGCAGAUCUCUUUACGUUAUUCGAUAUUUGAGAUCUUGAUAUUGCAAGCUUGAUUUGCUU
rnacentral:lncRNA from 1 species